GAUUUCUGGAUGGACCACAAAACCGAAAAUGGCCAACAAGAUGUUCAUGAUGAGGAAACUGACGUGGUGCCGGUGACAGUGUUCCAUCCCACUGUGACCAUGUUCAACGUCACCAGGGUGACUCUUCAGCAGUGUUGCCCUGGGACCCAGCGUACCUGGUCAUCGUGGAGCACAAUCUCUGGGCCGUGGGACUUGGUGUGGCGCCGUUCCGGCUGGUGGCGACCAUCAGGAGCUGGCCAGGGCGCAUGCGGCCGCAGGGGAGAGGAGGAGCCACGAGGACGCCUUCCACACCUGCUGGAGGAGCCCAGAGAAGGAGAACGGAGCGCUGAGGAAACAGCAGCGCUUCCUCUGCAAUGCUGCCAAGGUUUUGAAGGGCAAACACC